ensembl:rRNA 5S_rRNA 5S ribosomal RNA
UUUGGGGUAAACACCCUGAACACACCUGAUCUUGUCUGAUCUCAGAAGCUAAGCAGGGUUGGGCCUGGUUAGUACUUGGAUGGGAGGCAAUAUAUUUUAAAACUAUGCUACACUGAAC